rnacentral:rRNA from 1 species
GACGAACGCUGGCGGCGUGCUUAACACAUGCAAGUCGAACGGAAAGGCCCUGCUUUUGUGGGGUGCUCGAGUGGCGAACGGGUGAGUAACACGUGAGUAACCUGCCCUUGACUUUGGGAUAACUUCAGGAAACUGGGGCUAAUACCGGAUAGGGGCUCCUGCUGCAUGGUGGGGGUUGGAAAGUUUCGGCGGUUGGGGAUGGACUCGCGGCUUAUCAGCUUGUUGGUGGGGUAGUGGCUUACCAAGGCUUUGACGGGUAGCCGGCCUGAGAGGGUGACCGGCCACAUUGGGACUGAGAUGCGGCCCGGACUCAUACGGGAGGCAGCAGUGGAGAAGAGUGCACAAUGGGCGGAAGCCUGAUGCAGCAACGCCACGUGGGGGAUAACGGCCUUCGGGUUGUAAACCGCUUUCGCCUGUGACGAAGCGUGAGUGACGGUAAUGGGUAAAGAAGCACCGGCUAACUACGUG